AGCAGAUGAAUCCUAAUGAUUCUGGUGAUCCCCUGACUUUUCCUCUAGUGCCACCCUGUGGUCACUAUUGGAUGGAUUGGCAAUACAUUUGGUACGAACAUUCAUGUUAGCCUCAGGGUGAAUUGAAAUUACUUUGUGAUCCUUCAAGAUUCCAUAUAGCGCCAUCAUCAGUGUUUCCAGCUGUUCUCCCCCUUCCCUUGUGUGUCCUGUUUGUCCCCUGUUGAUUUCUGUCUGUAUUGGGGUGUGUGUGUGUGUGUGUGUGUGUGUGAUCUGGUCUAGGCGUGGCCUUCAUUCCCUCCCUCCUACAAACCUGCAACCAACUACCAAUCAAGCCUUGCAGUCAAGCCUCCUGCACACCAGCUAUCCAUCCAAUGAUCCAGUUCCAGCAGUAUAUAACCCCGGCUCUCCUCUCCAGUCUAUGUAUACCAUGAUCAUACUCACCUGUGUACCGUCUGCCUACGAACCUGCCUGCCAGUCUGUCUGCCUGGAUUUACGCUCUUCUGUGUAUUUGUUUGCCAAUAACCUGCCUGCCUACCCGCCUAGACUCCGUGUCAACUCAAGACUGCCUGCUAAAACAGAAAAUACCACUGUAAGAUCUCAGUCUACCCUCAAGCAACUCUG